UUGGAGGGCAAGUCUGGUGCCAGCAGCCGCGGUAAUUCCAGCUCCAAUAGCGUAUAUUAAAGUUGUUGCAGUUAAAAAGCUCGUAGUUGAAUUUCGGGAUCAGUACGUUGGUCGUGCCUUAGGUACGUACUGGUGUUACUGGUUCCUACCUUCUGACGAACCAUCAUGUCAUUAAUUUGGUGUGGCGGGGAAUCAGGACUGUUACUUUGAAAAAAUUAGAGUGUUUAAAGCAGGCUCGCGCUUGAAUACAUUAGCAUGGAAUAAUGAAAUAGGACGUUGAUCCUAUUUUGUUGGUUUCUAGGAUUGACGUAAUGAUUAAUAGGGAUAGUUGGG
rnacentral:misc_RNA from 1 species